AUUGAACGCUGGCGGCAUGCUUUACACAUGCAAGUCGAACGGCAGCGCGGGCUUCGGCCUGGCGGCGAGUGGCGAACGGGUGAGUAAUGCAUCGGAACGUGCCCAGUAGUGGGGGAUAGCCCGGCGAAAGCCGGAUUAAUACCGCAUACGACCUGAGGGUGAAAGCGGGGGACCGAAAGGCCUCGCGCUUUUGGAGCGGCCGAUGUCGGAUUAGCUAGUUGGUGGGGUAAAGGCUUACCAAGGCGACGAUCCGUAGCUGGUCUGAGGGGACGACCAGCCACACUGGGACUGAGACACGGCCCAGACUCCUACGGGAGGCAGCAGUGGGGAAUUUUGGACAAUGGGGGCAACCCUGAUCCAGCCAUGCCGCGUGCGGGAAGAAGGCCUUCGGGUUGUAAACCGCUUUUGUUCGGGAAGAAAUCCUCUGGGCUAAUACCCCGGGGGGAUGACGGUACCGGAAGAAUAAGCACCGGCUAACUACGUG
rnacentral:rRNA from 1 species